GGCUGGAAAGUGUGAGAAUUGUGGGCAAGAAACAAUGAUUGACAAAUACAAAAUAAAUAGUUUUCAUAUAUAAGGAAUACAAGAGAAGGGCUGGAGAAUUAGUUCAGUGAUUAAGACCACUUACUGGAGACCCAAGUUUGGUUUGAAACACCUAUAGCUCUGAUUACACCCAUCUGCAACUCUUGUUUCUGGUGAUCCAGUGCCCUCUUCUGGAUUCUGCUGGGACCAAAACAGGAAGAAAAAAAGUGUCAUUCUCCAGGUGGGGAAUCAUGUCCAGUCACUGGAUGCCUUCUGUACACAUUGUGACUCUCCCUUGCCUGAAGUUGGUUGGUUAGCAAACUUAAAUUCGUUUUGAAGGAGUUAGGGAAAGGUGGAGUACACUCAGUGCACCCCAGAGGGUGUCCCUGCCCUGUGGCAGCCCUGUCCAGCUCUAGCCCGGCGUUGAGCAAACCCAGGAGCAGAGCGUAAGUGGGCGGGGAGAAGUUUCGGGUACCAUGGGCAGGGCCUGCAGCUGCUGAACCGGCCAAUGAGCGCUCUCAAGAGGCUGAGCCAAGAAGGAGGCUGAGUGUGCCGCCACCACUGCCUCCCAAGUUUCCUGUAGUGGAUACACCGCCCGGCUGCUCCACUCCGCUCCACCCAACAUUGAGGGAGACCCGAAGAGGCCGGAGCCGAGGACUUUGGGCUGGGUUUUCUGGACAGAACCAGCAGGCGCCUACUCUGCUCUGGGUGGGGAGAGUGAGGAUUCGGUGAACUAUGAAGGGCCGGCGGCGGCGGCGCCGAGAGUAUUGCAAGUUCACGCUGCUCUUGGCGCUGUACACGCUUUUGCUACUUCUUGUCCCCUCUGUACUGGACAGCCACAGCGAGCAGGACAAGGGCAGGAACUGCCCCGGCCUGCAGCGCAGCUUGGGUGUGUGGAGCCUGGAGGCGGCGGCGGCCGGGGAACGUGAGCAGGGCGCUGAGGUGCGGUCCCUGGCCGAAGGAAACCCGGAUCGAUCCCCCGGGUCCCCCGGCAACCUCAGCGCCGUCGGUGAGGCGGUGACCCAGGAAAAGCAACACAUCUAUGUGCAUGCCACCUGGCGCACCGGCUCGUCCUUCUUGGGCGAACUCUUCAACCAGCACCCGGACGUUUUCUACUUGUACGAGCCCAUGUGGCAUCUGUGGCAGGCACUGUAUCCGGGCGACGCGGAGAGCCUGCAGGGCGCACUAAGAGACAUGCUGCGCUCCCUCUUCCGCUGUGAUUUCUCUGUGCUGCGCCUGUACGCGCAGCCUGGGGACCCUGGGGAGCGAGCACCGGACUCGGCCAACCUCACCACGGCCAUGCUUUUCCGCUGGCGGACCAACAAGGUCAUCUGCUCGCCGCCUCUGUGCCCCGCCGCGCCCCGGGCACGCGCGGACGUGGGACUCGUCGAGGACAAAGCCUGCGAAAGUACCUGCCCGCCCGUUUCGCUCCGCGCCCUGGAGGCCGAGUGCCGCAAGUACCCGGUGGUGGUCAUCAAAGACGUGCGGCUACUGGACCUGGGAGUGCUGGUCCCUCUGCUGCGUGACCCAGGCCUCAACCUAAAGGUGGUGCAACUCUUCCGAGACCCUCGGGCCGUGCACAACUCGCGCCUCAAGUCGAGGCAGGGACUGCUGCGCGAAAGCAUCCAGGUGCUGCGCACGCGCCAGAGGGGCGACCACUUCCACCGGGUGCUGCUGGCGCAUGGAGUGGAUGCCCGUCCGGGAGGCCAGGCCCGGGCUCUGCCCUCGGCGCCACGCGCUGAUUUCUUCUUAACCAGCGCGCUUGAGGUGAUCUGUGAAGCGUGGCUUCGCGACCUGCUAUUCACCCGCGGCGCGCCCGCCUGGCUGAGGCGUCGCUACCUGCGGCUGCGUUAUGAGGACCUGGUGUGGCAGCCCCAAGCCCAGCUGCGCCGCCUGCUGCGCUUCUCUGGGUUGCGGACACUCGCCGCGCUUGAUGCCUUCGCAUUCAAUAUGACGCGGGGCUCGGCCUACGGCGCCGAUCGUCCCUUCCACUUGUCUGCGCGGGACGCCCGAGAGGCUGUGCACGCCUGGCGCGAACGUCUGAGCCAAGAGCAGGUGCGCCAAGUGGAAACCGCCUGCGCCCCUGCCAUGCGUCUGCUUGCCUACCCUCGAAGUGGGGACGAACGCGACAGGAAGACCGUCAGGGAAGGGGAGACACCACUGGAGACCAAGGCCAAUUGGGCUGUGUAAUACCCUGAUCCCUGAACCCUGCCCCGGGGCGUAUUCAGGUAUGGUUGAACAUAACCAUAAUCGCAGUCCUCCCAAGUCUAAGGCAGGAGAAUCACAAGGUCAGUGGCCAUAAAAAGGUGAACUCAGCAUGCUGCCCCCGCACUGGAGAGGCUGCACGGUGGAGGCGAUCUAUCACACUGUGAGACACUGGGACUGAUUUGGUAUCAACUGCUGUGCCAUUCUCCUGGUCAGGAGCAUCACAAGCUGUUAAGUAAUGACAGACACCUUGGCUGAGAUGAAGUUUCCAGAAAGGAAGUAACAGUGCAAUGUGGAUAUUUGUGACCACAACAUAGGAAAAGCUGUACUUCCCAGGCUGAACUUGGCUCAGCUUGAGCCAUUUCAACAAGGCAUCCUCACAAUAAUGAAGAGAUGUGAUCUGGUUUCCUUUCACAUCAGCAGAUGUCUGGACAAAACCAUCAAUGUGAAUAAGGGCCAAGUGCAGUUGUGUCUCUCUUGAUUAAAUUACUUCAUAUUAAAUAAAAGGUCUGGCUGGUAUUGUUUCCUAAAGGCCUCACCCAGCUCUCCUUCAAUUAGCAGUCUUCCUGUAGAACCAUUUUCUAAACAAUUUUCUCUGGUGGGUAAGAGAGGUGUAAUAAACUAAAACUUUGUUUUCAAAUUUUUCUAUCUAGUGGUUUUGUAAUUCUGAAGUUAAAUGGCUGUAGUAUCAUACUAAUGACAGGAUUGGGGAGGGGAGUAAGCAGAUUUUGGUAAGUGGCUCAACUAUGAAUUCAAUAAAGGUAGUCUAUAUAAAAGGGUUAUAAGAACCAUGAAGGAAACUAUAUAUAGGAUUCAAAAAGUUUACUUUUCAAAUUGUAUUUUACAUGUGUGGGUGGUUUAUCUACAUGUAUGUCUUUGUGCCAUCUGCAUGCCUAGUUCCACUCAAGGCCAGAAAAGGGAGUCAGAUCCCUUGGGACUAGAGUUACAGAUGGUUUUAAGCUUCCAUAUGGGUGCUGGGAAUCAAAUCUCAGUCCUCUGGAGAGAAGCCAGUGCUCCUAACCACUAAGUAAUCUCUAUCCCACUUAGAUUCAAUAAUUUUAGCAGCCAUCCUGUAAGAAACCAUUAAGUUCCAAUGUCAUAUUUAUACCCUUCAGUCUCACAGAUUCAUGUUGCCAACUCCUGGUGAACAUUCCUCAGGAUUCUGCACUCAAAGCCUGGGAGACUCUUAGUGGCAAUAGGAGUCCUAGGCUAAAGCCAAAUUUAAACUGUUUCUUUCAACUCUGAAAAACCCAAAAAAGAUGUUGUCAUUGAUUUUACAGACCCUAGUAUCAGCCCUGUCUGUGCAGUUGAAGCUGGUCUCAAACUUGACCCUGCCUACUAAGUGUGGCAUUGUAGGUGUGUACCAGUAUGUCUAAAUGAUACCCUAUUCUUCUUUGUUCCUUUUUUGUGUAUGUGUGUUUGCCUGUAUGAGUACCACGUGUGUACCACAUUUGUGCAAUACUGGCAGAAUCCAGAAGAGGUUAUUGAAUCUCCUGGAACUGAAGUUACAGGUGGGUAUAAGCUGGUCGCUGUGGGAGCUAGAAAUUGCUUCCCAAGAUCUUCAUCAAGAGUAGUAAGUCUUCUAACCCCCAUGAUACCUAUCCCAGUGCUGAAAAUUUAGGACUAUUCAACUCAGGAAUUGGCAAGGGUUUUCCUACUAAAAGGUCAAGUAGUAAAUAGCUCAGGUGUUAUGUGCCAUAGAAUCUGUAUCAUUAACUCCUUAGCUCUCGCACUGUCACAUAAAGCAACUCUAGAUAGCAUGCUAAACUUCAUUUACAAAUACAAGCUGUGGUCUGGAUUUGCUUAGGGUCCAAGUAGAUCUUGCCAACUAUGGUUUGAAUGAAUUCCCCAGGGGGGAAUGGUUCUAAAAAUGAAGUAACUGCUCAGUGAGAAAAAGAAACAUGAUGGAAAUAAGAUCCCACUGUAUACACAUAGCAGAGGGCACUCUGAAAACACAAAACUCGUUAGCUCAGCCAGUUAAUCUUUUUAUUUUAAAUUUUGUAAAAAUAAAAAAAAAGCUUAGAGAAAAACAUGUUAAGUAUCAGUAAAGGACAGGAAACACAAGGCUAGCUUUACAAUCUAAACAUCUCUAGGAAGGCGCGAGUAAACGGUGAGGGGCAGUGAGCACAGCAAGGGUCUUGCUGCAGUUUCCCUAUUGCACAUAAAGGUUGUAGAUAAUUCCACAUCUUUAUUUUCACAGUUAAAACACUCUUUGUUAUCUUCUAUAAAAUUCUCCCCAAA